GGGGCUAUAGCUCAGUUGGGAGAGCGCCUGGAUCGCACCCAGGAGGUCGUCGGUUCGAGUCCGACUAGCUCCA
rnacentral:tRNA from 3 species